AAAUAUUUGCAUCUCCUAACCCAACUUGUAUUUGUUUAUCCUUAUUUUUGUUAUACCUCCACCAAUCAAGGCAACAUAUCAAGUAUAUUUCGAUUUUUGGAGGGCAGCAUUAGUUGUCAAUUGUGAUUUGUAUUUUGAACAAUUUUUCGGAAUUGGUAUACAUGGACCACUUAUUGCUGUAAGUUGCUUUCGUAUUCGUUGCUAAAUUAUCACUCUUAUUUAUUGUCUUUGUCUUUAUGCUUUGGUGGUGUCUCUCAUUUUUGUUUGUUUUUUCGUCCUUUAUUAAGCAUGUUGUCUCUUUUUCUAGUGUUCAGAAUUAUUUCUUAAAGACAAGAAGCUGCCGUCUGAUUUGUCCACAUAAACGAUGACACUUGUUGCCGUAUGAGAAUUCUGUAACUGAAUUCUCUAAUGUAUUUUUUUUUUAAAUAAUGUUGCGAUAUGAAUCAAAAAAUACCUGGUAAAAUUGAUUAUUGCAGAUUCUGUGAAGUAAGAAGUGUUUGAUUCUGGUGACGAAUUAUUUC
rnacentral:lncRNA from 1 species